rnacentral:rRNA from 1 species
AGCAGCCGCGGUAAUUCCAGCUCCAAUAGCGUAUAUUAAAGUUGUUGCAGUUAAAAAGCUCGUAGUUGAAUUUCGGGAUCAGUUGGUCGGUCGUGCCUCGGUACGUACUGGUCAAAUUGAUUCCUACCUUCUGACGAACCACGAUGUCAUUAAUUUGGUGUCGUGGGAAAUCAGGACUGUUACUUUGAAAAAUUAGAGUGUUUAAAGCAGGCUCGCGCUUGAAUACAUUAGCAUGGAAUAAUGAAAUAGGACGUUUGAUUCUAUUUUGUUGGUUUUCUAGGAUCGACGUAAUGAUUAAUAGGGAUAGUUGGGGGCAUUAGUAUCCAAUUGUCAGAGGUGAAAUUCUUGGAUUUAUUGAAGACUAACUACUGCGAAAGCAUUUGCCAAGGAUGUUUUCAAUUAUACAGAACGAAAGUUAGGGGAUCGAAGACGAUCAGAUACCGUCGUAGU